CGAAUUCGCCCUUCCAGAGUUUGAUCCUGGCUCAGGACGAACGCUGGCGGCGUGCCUAAUGCAUGCAAGUCGCACGCGGGGAGCUUGCUCCGCCGCGUGGCGCAUGGCUGAGGACCACGUGGGUACCAACCCCGGAGUGGGGGAUACCCCAUCGAAAGAUGGGACAAUCCCGCAUACGAUCCGCAAGGAUGAAAGCAGCGAUGCGCUCUGGGACGGGCCUGCGGCCCAUCAGGUAGUUGGUGUGGUAAUGGCGCACCAAGCCAGUGACGGGUCCCUGGUCUGAGAGGACGACCAGGCAGACUGGGACUGAGACACGGCCCAGACUCCUACGGGAGGCAGCAGCAAGGAAUUUUCCCCAAUGGGCUCACGCCUGAGGGAGCAACGCCGCGUGCAGGACGACGGCCUUCGGGUUGUAAACUGCUUUUAGGGGGGAAGACCACGACGGUACCCCCUGAAUAAGCCCCGGCUGACUCCGUGCCAGCAGCCGCGGUAAGACGGAGGGGGCAAGCGUUGUCCGGAAUCACUGGGCGUAAAGCGCGCGUAGGUGGUCGUGUGCGUCGGUGCUGAAAGCGCCGGGCUUAACCCGGCGAGGUGCAGCGAUACGACACGACUCGAGGCAGGGAGAGGGUGGCGGAAUUCCGGGUGUAGUGGUGAAAUGCGUAGAGAUCCGGAGGAACGCCAGUGGUGAAGACGGCCACCUGGCCCUGACCUGACACUGAGGCGCGAUAGCGUGGGGAGCGAACCGGAUUAGAUACCCGGGUAGUCCACGCCGUAAACGAUGCCGGCUCGGUGCUUGGGGACCGUUCAGGUCCCUGGGUGCCUCAGCUCACGCGGUAAGCCGGCCGCCUGGGGAGUACGAGCGCAAGCUUAAAACUCAAAGGAAUUGACGG
rnacentral:rRNA from 1 species